GUGUCAGCCGCCGCGGUAAUACGUAGGGGGCGAGCGUUGUCCGGAUUCAUUGGGCGUAAAGAGCUCGUAGGCGGCUUGGCGAGUCGGGUGUGAAAACUCCAGGCUCAACCUGGAGAUGCCACCCGAUACUGCUAUGGCUUGAGUUCGGUAGGGGACCACGGAAUUCCUGGUGUAGCGGUGAAAUGCGCAGAUAUCAGGAGGAACACCGGUGGCGAAGGCGGUGGUCUGGGCCGACACUGACGCUGAGGAGCGAAAGCGUGGGGAGCGAACAGGAUUAGAAACCCGUGUAGUCC
rnacentral:rRNA from 1 species